UAAGGGACUGGGUCCAUCCUCGGUGCACUUAGCUGCUUAUUUAGUUUCUCCAGAAUGAAGCAACGGAUCAAUAAGUGAAAGUUUUCUGAUGAUUUCAUCUUCAGAAUUUGUUCCACGAUUUCCCACCAGAGGGAACAGUGCGGCAGCUCCGGUCUGUUGUGUAAUCGGA